GGCUCCUUGGGACAAUGGAGGAAUGCUGACUGUAGCUCGGAACAAUCCUUCAUAUGUGAAAAGGAAGUAGAAGGUAGAACAGUCAAUGAAUUUUGAAUGUUUACAUGCAAUUUUACUUUCCAGUUUUACUUUCCUAAAUAAACAUAUUUACUUAUUUAUACAUUUUUCUGUAGUUACCCUGCCUUCUCUGGACAGCUGUAUAACUGGGGUUCCUAUGAUGAUGAGUGUCUACCCAAUGUCCCAAGCCAAAAUCCAGAACAGCAUCCCUAACAUUGGACAGCAAAUGGUUGAAGUGAUGAUGUUUCCUGGACUCUGGAUUAGCCAUGAAGGACAAGUUCUCUCUGUGGAUUUUGUAACACGACCCUUUAAAGAUGUAUCCCAUGCCAGAGUUCAGAUUUUUCGGCCCUACUGCAGCCCCAGCCAUCACCUUGUCCCACCAGGGUGUAGCUUCCUUGCUAAUCCCUUCAGCAGUUGCUCUCUGAUUCCAUUUUGCAACACAACCGGGGGCUGUUCGUAUGCACACUACUGGUGUCCUCUACUGGAGACUUGCCUGCCUGUAACAAGUCCAUGUACUCCCUACCACACAAGCACUUGGGGGAGAACCGUCUCACUGCCUCCUCGCUACAUUUCAACCCCACCAUUCUUCCAGCUAAUGGUGGACAUACCCCUGACCCUACCUCCAAACUCU
rnacentral:lncRNA from 1 species